GACGUAGGGCGCGAGCGUUGUCCGGAUUUAUUGGGCGUAAAGAGCUCGUAGGCGGCUCGUUGCGUCGGCUGUGAAAACCUGCAGCUCAACUGUGGGCUUGCAGCUGAUACGGGCGGGCUGGGAUUCGGUAGGGGAGACUGGAAUUCCUGGUGUAGCGGUGAAAUGCGCAGAUAUCAGGAGGAACACCGGUGGCGAAGGCGGGUCUCUGGGCCGAUAUCGACGUGGAGGAGCGAAAAGCGUGGGGAGCGAACAGG
rnacentral:rRNA from 1 species